GACGUAGGGCGCGAGCGUUGUCCGGAUUUAUUGGGCGUAAAGAGCUCGUAGGCGGCUUGUCGCGUCGACUGUGAAAACCCGCGGCUCAACUGCGGGCCUGCAUUCGAUACGGGCAGGCUAGAGUUCGGUAGGGGAGACUGGAAUUCCUGGUGUAGCGGUGAAAUGCGCAGAUAUCAGGAGGAACACCGGUGGCGAAGGCGGCUUCCUGGUCUGCAACUGACGCUGUGGCGCGAAAGCUAGGGGAGCAAACGGG
rnacentral:rRNA from 1 species